rnacentral:rRNA from 1 species
GACGAACGCUGGCGGCGUGCUUAACACAUGCAAGUCGAACGGAAAGGCCCUGCUUUUGUGGGGUGCUCGAGUGGCGAACGGGUGAGUAACACGUGAGUAACCUGCCCUUGACUUUGGGAUAACUUCAGGAAACUGGGGCUAAUACCGGCUAGGAGCUCCUGCUGCAUGGUGGGGGUUGGAAAGUUUCGGCGGUUGGUGAUGGACUCGCGGCGUAUCAGCUUGUUGGUUGGGUAGUGGCUUACCAAGGCUUGGACGGGUAGCCGGCCUGAGAGGGUGACCGGACAAGUUAGGCUUGAACUACGACACGGACUAGUACGGGACGCGGGGGUGGGGAGGGGUACACAAGAGGAGGAGCCCUAGUGCAGCAAAGCCGCGUGGGGGAAGAGGGCAUUCGGGUUGGAUUGCAAAGCCGUCUGUGACGAGAUGUGAAUGACAGUACUGGGUGAAGAAGCACCGGCUAACUACGUG